rnacentral:rRNA from 1 species
GGAAGGGGUGUAUUUAUUAGAUAAAAAACCAAUGCCCUUCGGGGCUCCUUGGUGAAUCAUAAUAACUUAACGAAUCGCAUGGCCUUGCGCCGGCGAUGGUUCAUUCAAAUUUCUGCCCUAUCAACUUUCGAUGGUAGGAUAGUGGCCUACCAUGGUGGCAACGGGUAACGGGGAAUUAGGGUUCGAUUCCGGAGAGGGAGCCUGAGAAACGGCUUCCACAUCCAAGGAAGGCAGCAGGCGCGCAAAUUACCCAAUCCCGACACGGGGAGGUAGUGACAAUAAAUACUGAUACGGGGCUCUUUUGGGUCUCGUAAUUGGAAUGAGUACAAUCUAAAUCCCUUAACGAGGAACAAUUGGAGGGCAAGUCUGGUGCCAGCAGCCGCGGUAAUUCCAGCUCCAAUAGCGUAUAUUAAAGUUGUUGCAGUUAAAAAGCUCGUAGUUGAACCUUGGGUCUGGCUGGCCGGUCCGCCUCACCGCGAGUACUGGUCCGGCUGGACCUUUCCUUCUGGGGAAUCUCAUGGCCUUCACUGGCUGUGGGGGGAACCAGGACUUUUAC